rnacentral:tRNA from 1 species
GAUCCGCUAGCUCAGCUGGUAGAGCACAUCCCUUUUAAGGAUGGGGUCUUGGGUUCGAAUCCCAAGCGGAUCAC